UCGCCGAGCCGAGUGGCCAUAGAGCAGGC
rnacentral:sRNA from 1 species